GAUGAAGAACGCAGUGAAAUGCGAUACGUAAUGUGAAUUGCAGAAUUCAGUGAAUCAUCGAGUCUUUGAACGCACAUUGCGCCCCCUGGUAUUCCGGGGGGCAUGCCUGUCCGAGCGUCAUUGCUGCCCUCAAGCACGGCUUGUGUGUUGGGCCUCCGUCCUCCUCCCGGGGGACGGGCCCGAAAGGCAGCGGCGGCACCGCGUCCGGUCCUCGAGCGUAUGGGGCUUCGUCACCCGCUCUUGUAGGCCCGGCCGGCGCUUGCCGACACAUCAAUCUUUUUUCCAGGUUGACCUCGGAUCAGGUAGGGAUACCCGCCGAACUUAAGCAUAUCAAUAAGCGGAGGA
rnacentral:misc_RNA from 1 species